UUGUGGAGGAGGACGCCGAAGGUGGGGCUAAUGACUGGGGUGAAGUCGUAACAAGGUAGCCGUACCGGAAGGUGCGGCUGGAUCACCUCCUAACAGGGAGACAACAAAAUGUUAAAUAUUAAUUUUGUCACCUUAGGUCGAUCGGUAUCUCACAUUCUUGAUUAUUUAAGGAUUUUAUUUCCUAAGUUUUUUCUAGGUCACACCCAUUACUUUUCCUGGGCCAUUAGCUCAGGUGGUUAGAGCGCACCCCUGAUAAGGGUGAGGUCCCUGGUUCAAGUCCAGGAUGGCCCAUAUCUCUAUGUUGGGGGUAUAGCUCAGUUGGUAGAGCGCCUGCUUUGCAAGCAGGAUGUCAGCGGUUCGAGUCCGCUUACCUCCACUGAUCACCACCUCUUCAUAAUUUAUAGAAGGGAAUUGUUUUGAGUUAUGAUCAAAUUCUGAACGAAUCUAGCUUCCUAAUUGAAUCUAUUAAGAUGCUGGACUCAUUGAAUUAAUUUCAUUGUUUUCAGAGAACCUUGACAACUGCAUAGAUUAUUUUAAAGACGAUAAGCAUCUUUAAUGAUGCAGAUUUAUUAUUUGUGCGAAUGCAUUAAAUAACAAUUCUAUUAAGCUGAUGCUUCAAUUUUGAAGUUAUUGGUCAAGCUACAA
rnacentral:misc_RNA from 1 species